GAUGAACGCUGGCGGCGUGCCUAAUACAUGCAAGUCGAGCGAACGGACGAGAAGCUUGCUUCUCUGAUGUUAGCGGCGGACGGGUGAGUAACACGUGGAUAACCUACCUAUAAGACUGGGAUAACUUCGGGAAACCGGAGCUAAUACCGGAUAAUAUUUUGAACCGCAUGGUUCAAAAGUGAAAGACGGUCUUGCUGUCACUUAUAGAUGGAUCCGCGCUGCAUUAGCUAGUUGGUAAGGUAACGGCUUACCAAGGCAACGAUGCAUAGCCGACCUGAGAGGGUGAUCAGCCACACUGGAACUGAGACACGGUCCAGACUCCUACGGGAGGCAGCAGUGGGGAAUCUUCCGCAAUGGGCGAAAGCCUGACGGAGCAACGCCGCGUGAGUGAUGAAGGUCUUCGGAUCGUAAAACUCUGUUAUUAGGGAAGAACAUAUGUGUAAGUAACUGUGCACGUCUUGACGGUACCUAAUCAGAAAGCCACGGCUAACUACGUG
rnacentral:rRNA from 1 species